rnacentral:lncRNA from 1 species
UUUCUCUCUCUCCAUCUCUCUCUGUCUCUCUCUUUCUCUCUGUCUCUCUCUCCCUCUGCCUGUCUCUCUCACUGUGUCUGUCUUCUGUCUUACUCUCCUUCUCUGUCUGUCUCUAUCUCCCCCUCUCUUUCUGUUUCUCUCUCUCUCACUCUCUCCGUCUCUCUCUUUCUGUCUGUUUCUCUCUGUCUGUCUCUGUCUCUCUGUCUCUGUCUGUCUCUCUUUCUGUCUGUUUCUCUCUGUCUCUCUCUGUCCAUCUCUGUCUUUCUAUGUCUGUCUCUUUCUCUGUCAGUCUGUCAGAGCCCCC